rnacentral:rRNA from 1 species
AUUGAACGCUGGCGGCAUGCUUUACACAUGCAAGUCGAGCGGCAGCGCGGGGGCAACCCUGGCGGCGAGCGGCGGACGGGUGAGUAAUGCAUCGGAACGUAUCCCGUAGUGGGGGACAACCCAGCGAAAGCUGGGCUAAUACCGCAUAUGCUCUACGGAGGAAAGCAGGGGACUCGCAAGAGCCUUGUGCUAUGGGAGCGGCCGAUGUCCGAUUAGCUAGUUGGUGGGUAAAGGCUUACCAAGGCGACGAUCGGUAGCUGGUCUGAGAGGAUGAUCAGCCACACUGGGACUGAGACACGGCCCAGACUCCUACGGGAGGCAGCAGUGGGGAAUUUUGGACAAUGGGGCAACCCUGAUCCAGCCAUGCCGCGUGCGGGAAGAA